rnacentral:rRNA from 1 species
GUGGGGUGCAAGCGUUAUCCGGAUUUAUUGGGCGUAAAGAGUUCGUAGGCGUCUUAUCAAGUUUUGCUUGAAAUCCCGAGGCUUAACCUCGGAACUGGGUGAAAUACUGAUGAGAUUGAGUCUGUUAGGGGGUACUGGAACUCAUGGUGUAGCAGUGAAAUGCGUUGAUAUCAUGAGGAACACCAAGGGCGAAGGCAGGUACCUGGGACACGACUGACGCUGAGGAACGAAAGCUAGGGGAGCGAAAGGGAUUAGAGACCCCUGUAGUCCUAGCCGUAAACUAUGUCCGCUUGAUCUCCCCGAUUUAUCGGAGGGGUCGGAGCUAACGCGUGAAGCGGACCGCCUGGGGAGUACGGUCGCAAGACUA